GUUGUGACUCAGUGGUAGAGCGCUCGCCUAGCACGCAUGAGGCACUGGGUUUGAUCCUCAGCACAACA
rnacentral:tRNA from 1 species